rnacentral:rRNA from 1 species
CCUACGGGAGGCAGCAGUGAGGAAUAUUGGGCAAUGGAGGCAACUCUGACCCAGCCAUGCCGCGUGAGUGAAGAAGGUUUUCGGAUUGUAAAGCUCUAUCGGAUGUGACGAUGAUGACGGUAGCAUCUAAAGAAGCCCCGGCUAACUUCGUGCCAGCAGCCGCGGUAAUACGAAGGGGGCAAGCGUUAUCCGGAUUUACUGGGCGUAAAGGGAGGGUAGGCGGCUGAGUAAGAUAGUUGUGAAAGCCCAGGGCUGAACGCCGGGAUUGCAGUUGGAACUGUGUGGCUUGAGUGUCGGAGAGGCAGGCGGAAUGCCUAGUGUAGAGGUGAAAUGCGUAGAUAUUAGGAGGAACACCAGUGGCGAAGGCGGCCUGCUGGACGAUGACUGACGUUGAGGCUCGAAAGCGUGGGGAGCAAACAGGAUUAGAGACCCUUGUAGUG